rnacentral:misc_RNA from 1 species
GAUGAAGAACGUAGCGAAAUGCGAUACUUGGUGUGAAUUGCAGAAUCCCGUGAACCAUCGAGUCUUUGAACGCAAGUUGCGCCCGAAGCCACUAGGCCGAGGGCACGCCUGCCUGGGCGUCACACGUCGUUGCCCCCCCCCCAUCUACUCCUUCGGGAUUGCGGGGGGCGGAUGAUGGCCCCCCGUGCGCCUAGCCGCGCGGUUGGCAUAAAUACCAAGUCCUCGGCGACGCACGCCACGACAAUCGGUGGUUGCGAAACCUCGGUUGCCCGUCGUGUGCGUUCGUCGCGCAUCGAGGGCUCGAAAAAAUGCUCAGCUCCGGCUCGGCUUUCAACGCGGCCCCAGGUCAGGCGGGGUUACCCGCUGAAUUUAAGCAUAUCAAUAAGCGGAGGA